AACCCCCUGCUUUUCUCCUCCUCCACUCCACUACCUCACUCCUCCAUCUUUUCCUCCCUCCCUGGAUCCCCUUUCUCGUCAAGCUCACUUGGGACGCCGCCGCUCGCCGUUGCAACGCCAGCCGCAGGGACUGGCGGGAUCCGCCAGGCUUCGGUCCGGAUAAACGUCCAUGCCUCUGGCUCCGACAUGCACGCCCGCCCACUGGACGCCGCCAUGAACCAGCUCGUUUCUCCGCGUGCCGGAACCUCUUGAACCCAGGUCGCGUUUCUCGGUUCCGUCGGCCGCCGUUGCGACAUCGUCGUGGUCAUCCUCCUGCACGAGCAGCUCCAGGGAUGGGCUCCGCGUCGUCCGAGUCUCCUCUAACCACAAACUCGAAGCCGUGGGUCCCUCUACUUCUUCCUCGACAGCUGACCGCAAUUGACACCGUCCGGAACUCGCAGUCGUCCGUCCUCUCGCCUCCCUGCUCCGUCCGACUCCGUUACGACAACAAGGAAGGAACAAGAAUAAUAAGCCAUAUCCAUCCAAGACUCAGGGCCUUCGUGGACCGGUGAGGAGAUGAUCUGCAACUAUACUACUGCGAACAACAAAAUGCUUGAUUAUCUCAGAUAUGGGAGAGUGGAUUGAAACAGGUUGCGGGCGAUGGUUAAGACGUGUCCUGGCCAGCCUUCCACGUAGCACCAUGGCAUGGGGGCAGCUGAGGAGACAACGGGAACAGGCUGCUUAAAUGGAAAACCAACAAAAUCAUUUACUUCUGCGCGUAGGUAGAGGAAAGGUAUUUGGUGGAGAAGAUGAAGAGAGAGACCGUCCUUCGGCUGGUGGAAGCUCAAAGGAAGCAAUACUGCAACAAAAAUCUCUGAAUGCAUUCCAAGCUUCUGUACGGCAUAUGCCGUUUCAAAGGGCAAACUGUCAUUUGUGCACUCGGCUACAUCUGAUGCCUGCGGAAUACCCAAGACCAUAUCUUCUUCAACCAUUUCUUCUCCUAGCUCCAGAAGCCUUUCCAAUGCGCCCUCAGCAGAGUGGGCUCAUAGAAAUGGAACAACGACUGUACUAUUGUGCCAGUCAUCUCUGUCAUCGCAGCCUGAUCACGCACUCGCAAAUAUAAACAGGUCGGCCAACAGGGGAGCUAGCCCUUCAGGUAGUGCUGGCAGCGAGAUCUCUUAGCAUGCUGAUACAACCCUGAAGACAAAUUCACACCCAAUCACACCAGUAGCGCAGCUCAGCAGCAGCAACAGUGGGGAUUCAAUUUACAAGAGCUUCCGAGAUAUCUCUAAUCUGCAGGCAGCAGUUUCAGAAACUGCAAUAGACCUGAGGCAUUCUCAUGACCAGGAUGAUCUGAAGCUUCAAAUUGAGUGAAGGUCAAACUGCGACAUCUUCAGAAGCUUCAUCCUGUUGUCUGUUGACUCCACCCAUAAAUUACCCAACAACUUGGGUAUCCGGCGUGUCGAGGAUGGAAUUAAGCUUAGAGAGAUUAACCUGACAGAAGAAAUAGUGAAGAGAUUGGUAAGACAAAUGGAAAGAGAAGAAGAGCAUGCAGCCGAAAGAGAAGCUCAACCUAAACAAAGCUCUUCUGAAGAGGACAGUAAUGAUGAGGGGCCAUUGUGAGGGUCGAGGCUGUAGGAGAAUGACGCCAAGGAAGAUGAGCAGGAGCGGAGGUGUGGAGGAAAACGAGAAGGAGUGUCUGCUAGAUUUCGAAGCCGCCAUCGUCACUGGCAACUGCGAGUAGCUCGUGGUGGAGUCAGUGAUCCGGCUGCGGUGGGAACGCCAUGGCCGUUGUGGCUACGAGGAGGUCGAGCUGGAACCCCACGGGCUUGGUCUGGAUCCAGCCACGGCGGGAAUGCAAUGGCCUCCCUUGUCGAUCUGGGGGAAGAGAAGGGAAGGGAGAGGAGGGGAGGGGAGAUCACCGGUACGGAGAGGGCAGAGUCCGGCGGCGGUAGGGGAGAGAUGUUGCCGGCGCGGGGAGAGCGCAGGCCAACGGGGGACGGUGUCGCCAGAUGCAGCCGGGGUCGAGGGGUAGACAGAAAGGAUCGCGGAUUGAGUUCUUAUAAAUGUAGGGGUUAAUUUGUAAACAACAGAACGUUUUCUCAGAUCCACUAAAAUAGGGAUUGCGGGUCCAAUUACCAAAAGUACAAGGACAUUUUUGUAAAAAAUCCGUGACGGACGACCAGAAACCAUCGGUGCUUUAUUAUUAUUAUUAUUAUAUUAUAUUAUUAUUAUUAUUA